rnacentral:rRNA from 1 species
AGUGAACGCUGGCGGUAGGCCUAGCACAUGCAAGUCGAACGGCAGCACAGUAAGAGCUUGCUCUUACGGGAGGCGAGUGGCGGACGGGUGAGGAAUACAUCGGAAUCUACUUUUUCGUGGGGGAUAACGUAGGGAAACUUACGCUAAUACCGCAUACGACCUACGGGUGAAAGCAGGGGAUCUUCGGACCUUGCGCGAUUGAAUGAGCCGAUGUCGGAUUAGCUAGUUGGCGGGGUAAAGGCCCACCAAGGCGACGAUCCGUAGCUGGUCUGAGAGGAUGAUCAGCCACACUGGAACUGAGACACGGUCCAGACUCCUACGGGAGGCAGCAGUGGGGAAUAUUGGACAAUGGGCGCAAGCCUGAUCCAGCCAUACCGCGUGGGUGAAGAAGGCCUUCGGGUUGUAAAGCCCUUUUGUUGGGAAAGAAAAGCAGCAGGUUAAUACCCCGCUGUUCUGACGGUACCCAAAGAAUAAGCACCGGCUAACUUCGUG